GUAUUCUACUCUAUUUACUUGUCCUGUAUUCUACUUUAUUUACUUGUCCUGUAUUCUACUUUAUUUACUUGUCCUGUAUUCUACUUUAUUUACUUGUCCUAUAUUCUACUUUAUUUACUUGUACUGUAUUCAGUAAUUUAUUUAAUUACGUUUCUUUUAAUACGCUUUUUAAAUUGGCCUUGUAUUAUUCAGUAUCGUCUGUCCUAAUGUCUGUUCAGGUCAACGGCUCAAGAUGAAUGACGAGGAUUACGCUGUAUCCCAGAUGGAACUGCAUCCCUUGUUGGUCACCAUUUUUUUCCUUCGACCUUCCGGCAGCUUCAGAUGUGUCUAGAUUGAGCUAGAGGCCUCCUUCCAACAUUUUGUCAGGGCGUCGCGCACCUUCUAAAGAAGACCUCUUGCCUCUAUCCCUCUAGGUAAGCGCGCCCUACAGUUUGAGAAACGUUGCUCUAUUGAUUUAUUCGAGUUCUGUUGUAGGUGAGAAACUCUCCUGACAUGAAACAACGAUUGUAUUGAUAUAAUAAAUGACUGAAAUAUGAA